rnacentral:rRNA from 1 species
UCGAGAAUUUUUCACAAUGGACGAAAGUCUGAUGGAGCGACGCCGCGUGGAGGAUGAAGGUUUUCGGAUUGUAAACUCCUGUCACUGCAGAACAAGGCGGUGCGUAUGAAUAGUACGUGCCGUUGAUGGUAUGCGGAGAGGAAGGGACGGCUAACUCUGUGCCAGCAGCCGCGGUAAGACAGAGGUCCCGAGCGUUGUUCGGAUUCAUUGGGCGUAAAGGGUGUGUAGGAGGCCAGGUAAGUCAGGUGUGAAAUCUCAGAGCUUAACUCUGAAACUGCGCUUGAUACUGCUUGGCUAGAGGAUCGGAGGGGGUAACGGAAUUUAUGGUGUAGCAGUGAAAUGCGUAGAUAUCAUAAGGAACACCGGUGGCGAAGGCGGUUACCUGGAAGAUUCCUGACUCUGAAACACGAAAGCCAGGGGAGCAAACGG